CCUACGGGGUGCAGCAGUGGGGAAUAUUGCGCAAUGGGCGAAAGCCUGACGCAGCGACGCCGCGUGAGGGAUGAAGGUCUUCGGAUCGUAAACCUCUGUCAGCAUGGAAGAACGGUCACUGUGCUAAUCAGCAGUGAAUUGACGGUACCUGCAAAGGAAGCACCGGCUAACUCCGUGCCAGCAGCUGCGGUAAUACGGAGGGUGCGAGCGUUAAUCGGAAUUACUGGGCGUAAAGCGCUCGUAGGCGGUAGGUCAAGUCAAGGGGGAAAUCCCCGCGCUCAACGUGGGAACUGCCUUUGAAACUGGCAAACUGGAGUGUGUGAGAGGAUAGGGGAAUUCCAGGUGUAGGAGUGAAAUCCGUAGAUAUCUGGAGGAACAUCAGUGGCGAAGGCGACUAUCUGGCACAUAACUGACGCUGAGGAGCGAAAGCGUGGGUAGCAAACAGGAUUAGAUAACCUAGUAGUC
rnacentral:rRNA from 1 species